AAAAUCCGUCGACUUUAAAAUCAUGAGGGUUCAAG
rnacentral:tRNA from 3 species